rnacentral:rRNA from 1 species
AAGGGGAGUGGCAGACGGGUGAGUAACGCGUGGGAACAUACCCUUUCCUGCGGAAUAGCUCUGGGAAACUGGAAUUAAUACCGCAUACGCCCUACGGGGGAAAGAUUUAUCGGGGAAGGAUUGGCCCGCGUUGGAUUAGCUAGUUGGUGGGGUAAAGGCCUACCAAGGCGACGAUCCAUAGCUGGUCUGAGAGGAUGAUCAGCCACAUUGGGACUGAGACACGGCCCAAACUCCUACGGGAGGCAGCAGUGGGGAAUAUUGGACAAUGGGCGCAAGCCUGAUCCAGCCAUGCCGCGUGAGUGAUGAAGGCCUUAGGGUUGUAAAGCUCUUUCACCGAUGAAGAUAAUGACGGUAGUCGGAGAAGAAGCCCCGGCUAACUUCGUGCCAGCAGCCGCGGUAAUACGAAGGGGGCUAGCGUUGUUCGGAAUUACUGGGCGUAAAGCGCACGUAGGCGGAUAUUUAAGUCAGGGGUGAAAUCCCGCAGCUCAACUGCGGAACUGCCUUUGAUACUGGGUAUCUUGAGUAUGGAAGAGGUAAGUGGAAUUCCGAGUGUAGAGGUGAAAUUCGUAGAUAUUCGGAGGAACACCAGUGGCGAAGGCGGGCUUUACUGG